AGAGCAAGUCUACGGUUUAUAUAUAAGGAGGGACGUGCCCUUAUGAGAAAAAGAGCACCCAAAGAUUAAGUUAAAAGAGAGAGAGAGUUUCAUUAAGUGUUGAGUGUUGACCUACGGUCUGACGUAGUGUCCGAUAGAGUCUGAUGUGGACUUAGUUUGGUGGCAUUGGAGUUGGCGCUUUAUGUGGUGGAGUUAGCCAUCAUGUAUAGCUGUUGUGAGCUUUGUGUGUGCUUGGGUGAUUAAGCAUUUUGGUGUGUCCGUUGAGGUGUGGUGACCAAGCUGUGCAUUGGUGUGACAUGCUUGUUGGUAUAUGUGGUGUGCGUCUGGUGUUGACAUAUUCGGUGACGUACUUGCUGAAGUAUUCGGUGACGUACUUGGUGAAGUACAUGGUGAUGUACCUUCUGAGAGGUGGAAGGUUGAAGCCUUGACUCAGAGGGAGUUUAGCAAAGAUGGUUUUAUUGAGGAGGUCUGAAAGGAUUGCAGCUGUGUGAAGACAGUGAGCUCUGGUGCGGCCGGAUGAGAUCUAUGCAUGCGUGCUUGAUUCUUAAUCUUCAUAGAUAUCUAUCUAGAAAAGAGUGUGUCAUGAAGUUUGUGCCUGAUGUAUAUAUUAGCAAAUAAUGAUGUAUUUGCAUUCUUGUUCUAGUGAUCAAUGAAAUCUGGACAAAGUUCCGGGGAUGUAGAAAAUGAAUCCUGAUAACAAAUUCAGUGUAUCAUUUACUUUUGUAUCUAUAUUUCUGACUCAUCCACACUUACAAAUUAUUUUCUAAAGCAUCCAAGUUUUUAGAUAAAAAACACAUUUACUGUACAAAUAUUUUUUUAUUCGAGUAAAUUUGACAUUCAUUAAAAAAAAAGUCAUAAUAGAAUUUUCUCACGGCAGGGGAUUCAUAGUCGUAUGUGUGUAGUUAGUUACAACUUGCAACCAAUGGAGUUCUAUAAACAUGACCACCUUCAUCAUCCUUAGAUAUAUAUAGCCUUAUCAUUAUCAACCAUUAUAUAUAUUAUAUUCACUGGAUCGACAAACCUAAUUAACAAAUAAAUGAUAAAUAAAUAAAUAGUUUAGAUCGAUGCCCACUUCUUUUCGCACUGUGCUUCUGCCACUACAUUCUUGGACUGCUUCUGCUAUAAAAUACCCCACAAUGGACCAUUUAAUUUAUAAUUUUAUGAAACUAAUACAGACAAAUGCUUGUACUUAUUUUUAAGCAAAAAUCGCCCAUACUAGUCAUAGAUCAGAUGCCACCUUUGUUAAUUUCUAACACUCACUUAGUGCUGAUUUACCACUAAACAAAGCUUAAUUCAAUCCAAGAUUCCACAUACAGAGACACGUACAUACAUACAAUUAUACAAUAAAUAUCGGUUUAAGGCCCUAGACAAUUUUACUUAUAUGAAUUUAUAGUUUCAAACUUUUGUGGAAUUGUAAUACGUAUCAACUCUAUAACUAUUGUUUCGAGGCACAAUACUGAAUGAAAUUAUAUAUAUGCCAUAACUAUUGUUUUAGGG
rnacentral:lncRNA from 1 species